AGAGAGGGGGAAGGAAGCAGAUUAGCGGAUGAUGAAAUCAUCUUCCAUUGGACUGAAGGUCUGAAACACUACAAAAUUGUAGGGCUCGAAAAUCUGCCUGCGAAUCACUUCAAAGAGACAGCGAUCACGAGACAGUUUAUACAAGGUGAGGAAUUGUUCUCUCUAUGGAAAUUGAUCUUGAGCUGCCUUCACGGGUAGAUGAAAAGCUAGACUCUGUAACUGCUACUACUGAUGCAAAUGCAGUUCUUGAAGAGGGUGAAAAUGUUGAUGGGGUUGGAGAUUUUAUGGAUGGCGAUAGUAUUAGCCUUGCAGGUAAGGGUAUGAUUAGUUAUGAGCCUCGGAAGGAUCUGGAAUUUGAAACGAAGGAGGCAGCAUAUUCAUUCUACAGGGAAUAUGCAAGGUCAGUGGGAUUUGGUAUUACGAUAAAAGCCAGUCGCCGGUCAAAAAAGUCUGGGAAAUUCAUUGAUGUGAAGAUUGUGUGUUCUAGGUUUGGGACUAAACGUGACUCAGAUAAGGCGGUAAACUCACGGUCAUGUCCUAAGACAGAUUGCAAGGCAGGUAUGCAUAUAAAGAGAAAGCAGGAUGGGAAAUGGCAUAUAUACAGUUUUGUAAAGGAGCAUAAUCAUGAAAUUUGCCCUGAUGAUUUCUAUUAUGCUAUCAGGGGAAGGAUCAAGCAGUCCAUCAAUGCACAGCACCAGAAGAAAGCAUUGCAGUUGGCGUUGGAUGGAGAGGACAUACAGGCAAUGCUUGAUAGUUUCAUGCUUAUGCAAGGGGAGACUCCAGGAUUCUACUAUGCUGUAGACUUUGACAAGGAAAGACGUAUGAGAAAUGUAUGUUGGGUUGAUGCAAAAGGCAGGCAUGAUUAUGGGUAUUUUUCUGAUGUAAUUUUCUUUGACACUACAUAUAUUAGAAAGAAGUACAAGGUACCGCUUUUACCUAUUGUUGGGGUUAAUCAUAACUUCCAAUUAUUGUUGCUCGGAUGUGGUUUGAUUGGGGAUGAGACUUCAUCAAAUUACAUUUGGUUAAUGCGCACGUGGCUUAGAGCAGUGGGUGGCCAAAGUCCUAAAGUAGUCAUCACCAAUGACAACAACUCCCUACAAGAGGCUAUAGAUGAUGUCUUUCCAAAUGCACGCCAUUGUUUUUGUUUGUGGCAUGUAAUGGAGAAAAUUUCACAUCACCUAAGUCAUAAAAUGCAUAAUUUUGAAGUUUUUCUAAGGAAGUUUAACAAAUGUGUAUAUCAACCAUGGUCAGAGGAAUGUUUUGAAAAGAGAUGGUCGGACAAGAUUGUUGAUGCAUUUGAACUCAGGGGAGAGGAAUGCAUGGGGUUUCUAUUUGAAAGCCGUAAAAAAUGGGUUCCAGCUUACAUGAGGGGUACUUUUCUAGGAGGACUCUGCACAGUUGAGCGCUCUGAAGGUAUUUCCUCUUUCUUUGACAACUAUAUUCACAAGGAAACUACAUUCAAGGAGUUCAUUGAUCAUUACAAAACAUUUUUGCAUGACUGUUAUGAAGAGGAAACCAAGGCAGAUUUUGAAACUAAAUAUAAGCAACCUACAAUAAAAUCUGUCUUCCCUUAUGAGAAACAAAUGUCUACUGUCUAUACACACGCUGUGUUCAAAAAAUUUCAAUCUGAGGUUCAUGGAAUGGGUAGCUGUGAUGUUCAGAAGGAAGGUGAAGAUGGAAAAACAAUGUUAUACAGGGUUGAUGAUUCUGAAAAGCAGCAGAAGUUCAUAGUAGCUUGGAUUGAAAGACAAUCCAAUGUCUAUUGUUCAUGUCAUUCAUUUGAAUAUAGAGGUUUUCUUUGUAGACAUGCAAUGAAAGUUCUUCAAAUAUAUGGGAUGUCCAGCAUCCCACCUCAGUAUGUAUUGAAACGGUGGACCAGAGAGGCAAAGAUUAGGGAGACAACAUCUAGACUACCUAGCAGUCCCCAUUACAGGGUUCAACGACUUAAUGAUCUUUGUAAACUCGCUGUUAAAUUGGGAGAAGCAGGUUCUUUAUCCUUGGAAAGCUAUAACAUUGUCCUAUAUGCGCUAGAAGAAGCAAUGGAACAUUGUGUUGGUGAGAAUAACUCUGCUAGAAGUUCUUUAGAAAACAAUAUAUUGUCAACACAAAAUCUUCCGUGUAUUGACAUAGAGAAGCAGGGUAGUGGUACAGCAAAGCGAUUAAAGAAAAAACAAUUGCCUAAGAAGCACAAGGUACAAUCUGUUACUGAAGAAAUAUCUAGUGGGGUCCAAGACAGCAACCAACAGGAGUCAUCAAACCCAAGAGAACAAACCCUUGAAAGUUCCUAUGUUGCUUUCCUAGACAUGCAAGGGAUGGAGUUAGGCUCCAGAACUCCAGUUACUGAUGGCUACUAUUCUACUCAACAGAGCAUUCAAGGACUGGGGCAACUGGCUUCUCUGCCUAUGCUACGGGAAGGCUAUUACUACAAUCAGGGCAUGCAGGGAAUUCUGCAGGGAAAUUUGAAUUCAAUAGCUACACGUUUGAGUCAUUAUCCCAUCCAAAGCUUUCAAGGAAUGUUGCAGGGACAGCUUGGCUUUAGAGCAGCAGCAUCCAUGCAUGGUGGUUUUGAGAUUCAGGAUGGCUUGCUAGAUAUGGGAAAUUCUAUAAAUUCUGCUGGAAAACAAGAUAAGCAUUUUUCAAGGUAGUAAUUAAUCUCUCCAAAUCCAGACAUAAAGAUGACUUAAAAGGGAUUCCAUGGCUUAGUUUCAAGAUUAGAGACCUAGUACUAAAUCCCAUUGCUCCCAUCCUCCUGUUGAUAUAUGUAGUGUAAAAAAAGUACGUAAAUGUUGUUGAUAAGAAGAAGAAGAAGAAAGUGCAGAGAGGAGGUUUCGAUGGUGGAGCGGGUGAUGGGCUGAUGGUUUUAGACUUCUUGGUUGCAUUUACUUCAAAUUCUUCACUUUUCUAUUAUCCACUUUCAAAUCCGUGACUGCCGUGCGCAGUGAGACAACGAGUCUAGGACGGACAAGCAGAGCAAAGAUGACAUGGAACGCUGAGGGCCGCAAGGUUUUAGGUUUUUGGUAGGCCUGAAUCUAGUGCAGAAAAUUUUGGAUUAUGUCCUUCAUUAUGACACACUUUGCUUUUCGAUCUUGAAUUCUUGAUGGAUGGCGUUUAACUGUUUCACCACGCCACUCUACCUCCAUUGAUAAGGUUGCACACUAGUGUUUAACACUAUUUUCGGUCGAACUCUUUGCACAUAGUCUUUUUUAGUACGAUUUGCUUCUCAA